AGUGACAAUUCAAUAUACUUAUGGGAAGUAUAUUUUUUGGAAAUUAAUUGUUAAUUUACUUUUUUAAAGUGUACUAUGAUCUCACUUCAUAAGAAGUGUGACUUCUGUACACUUUAUACGGUACACUCUAAAAUAAGUGUAUUUUUAGUUGCAUAUCAGAGUACUUUCAAAAAAUAUGUUAGAAUAAUAAAAUGUAUACACUGCAUGAAAAGAGCUGUAUCCGGACAAAUACGGAUGGGAAAUCCCUGCUAAACUUUAGGUUUGCCAGAUAAAUGAGGCAGAGUGCUUGGAAACGUACUCAGAAGUAAACUCGUGAAACAUCCAGAAACCUUGUGUAUAUAGGAACUGGUGGAAGUUUCCAGGAAUCCUCAAAGCUGGAUGUGAGGAGUGCUAGUUGUGAGGUGUGAAGGGUUAAUGACAGAGGUGCUGUCUCUGUUUUCAAAGCUGGGUGGGAGGUUCGAGGCAGCACAUAACAUAAAAACUGGAUAAAAACAUUAUAUAUCUACAAGUGCGUUUACUAAAUACAUGUAUUAUUAUGCUAAUGUAAUUUAAUUGAUAAAGUUUUUUUUAUUUAAGAAAAUCUGAGCAUCACUGAAAAUAACUGUCAACAUGUUUGUCAACUAAACAUGUUUUGUAAACGUUAUACAUUUUAUAAAAAUAUUUUAUAUUUUUAUUAUUGAUAAAGUAUAAAGAACAAAUCAGUGUGAAACGCAGAUUAUAAAAAGUACAUAAAGUGCCAGCAGAGGAUCCAAAAUAAUGAAGAAAAAAACACACAUUUGAAACAUCCAAUGCAUCUUGGAACUCGUAGUCAAAUUUACAUCUACAGCAUGUAAGAACGCUAGGGCAAAAGACUUCAAUUACCAGAAUGCACUUGCACCCACCCAUUCAUUUCCACCAAUCAGGAUCAACGGCAUUAUUUCAAAUUCAAACCGCUACUGACUCGGUCUUCGUUUUCAUGCUAAACAGUACGGCUGAGAGGUCAUGUACCAUGUGGUCAACCUUGCUGAUGCUGAAGAGGUUUCUGUGUUAAAAUGAUAUGCAGUGAGGGAGUGAUUUCCCAACAUCGAGGUGGCAGAGAUCCGGGACCUUCUACGGAGGAAGUGCAACAAUGCCAGUUACAAGGCCUACCAGUAGUUCAAAUCAGAGCUAGAUGUGCAUAUAGUACAAGUUGUUCGCAAUUGUUCUCUUCCCGGCAUUUCAAAGAAAGUCGACUGUUUAAGGUUCCCAUUUUGCCAAUAUCUGUUUUGUGUGUUACUUUUGUGUCAAUAAUAAAGAUCCUUAUUUGAAAUGCAGUUUGUAAUCUGUUUGUGUGCAUUUGAACUGAAUUUUUAUAUAAUACACUUGUAAUGUAAUAGCAAUAUUCAUGCUUAAGUAUAACAAAAUGGGGAUAAAAGUACAAAUUAAAUAUACUUAAAAUAUAAAAAUACACUAUAAUAAUAUUGCACUGAAAGUACAUGUUUAUGAUGUUUAGGUUGUAAUUGAACUUCACUUUAAAAACAUUAUUAUUGUCAUAGUGGGACACUUUAAAAGCACUAAAAAUAGUUAGGAAGU